GACGUUAGUCAGCCAUCUUCCCCCUUGCUAGCAAGCUGUAAUAAACUGCUCUUUCUUUUCCACCAUCUUGCCUCUUGACGAUUGGCUUUUGUCUCUCGGUGAGCAGAUCAUGCCCUUUGUGAGGUAACAAUCACACCAAGAAGAGUGGCAUUUGGGAGAAGGAUCUGUAGGGAAUAUACAGGAGGCUUUGGCUGUAUUUGUGAAACGUUUUCGCCCUUGAAUCCAGUGUCCCCUCUACUUCUGAGUCGUCUGAAAAGGCUGUCGCUGAGGCUGGAAAGAGGAGACAUAAAAGUGGAAAUGAGAUGCCAAGGAAUAAUUGGAAGAAAUGGGGCAAAUCUGCCUCAGGCCCACCCUCGAGCCCCAUAACAAGUCUCAACUUUAGCAGUUUCCACCUCUUCUUACUGCCUCUUUGAUACAUUUUCAAGGAGAUUUUUUGAAGUCAAGGCUGUAUCUUCCAAAAUGUUGAAGCACAAAGCAAUCCGCCCCAACAGAUAAUCCACUGUGUAAAAUUUUCUAAUUUGUGUCAGAAUGUACUUGGAAUGUGUAUAAUGCUUUUUUCCCAGAGUCACUUUACCAACCCCUUGGCUGAUUAUUUGGCAGGAUGCCCUGGUCGUGUAAAGUUAAACAAGGUUUUUAGAAUGUAAUUUCCUUAUAUAAACAACACGUUCUAUACUCUGA